UUGGAGAAGUUAAGUCACAUACAUUAUUGUGAUCCCGUGGUAUUAUAAUAGGCAACAGAACGAAGUCUUGACCUCAGAUCUGUAACAUCAUCCUCCUGGCAUCAAGCCUGCAUCUAAUCCUGUUCUAUCAACCACAAAAGCUCUGGGGUGAGCAGGGUUGGGGUGCUGAGUCCACAACCACAUGAGAUGAAGAUUCUGAGGGACAGGACUUGCUCAGGACCUUUCAGCAAGCAAACCGCAGACAAGGCUCAAAGAAUUAAAGCACGAAUGGGGCCUCCUGAACUUGCUGCUGCACCCCCACCCCUCGACCACCUAUGUGGAUUCAGCAGAGCAUUUAUGUUUAUUCAGAUGGACCACAUUCUCUGCCUCCCUGUCCUCAUCUGUGUUGUCUGGACCAUGGUUGGCAUCUGACCCAAACUCAAAAUCUGAA